rnacentral:rRNA from 1 species
GACGAACGCUGGCGGCGUGCUUAACACAUGCAAGUCAAGGGGGCCCGCAAGGGCAACCGGCGAACGGGUGCGUAACACGUGAGCAACCUGCCUAGGUGUGGGGGAUAGCCGGCCCAACGG